rnacentral:tRNA from 1 species
GUGCCCGUGGCUUAACGGAUAAAGCAACAGAUUGCGGAUCUGUAGAUUGGGGGUUCAAGUCCCCCCGGGCAUACCA